rnacentral:rRNA from 1 species
CAGUAGCCGCGGUAAUACGUAGGUCCCGAGCGUUGUCCGGAUUUAUUGGGCGUAAAGCGAGCGCAGGCGGUUAGAUAAGUCUGAAGUUAAAGGCUGUGGCUUAACCAUAGUACGCUUUGGAAACUGUUUAACUUGAGUGCAGAAGGGGAGAGUGGAAUUCCAUGUGUAGCGGUGAAAUGCGUAGAUAUAUGGAGGAACACCGGUGGCGAAAGCGGCUCUCUGGCUUGUAACUGACGCUGAGGCUCGAAAGCGUGGGGAGCAAACAGGAUUAGAUACCCGGGUAGUCCCUGUCUCUUAUACA